GCGGAGUGAAAGAGAUCCUGAAACCGUGUGCCUACAAGUAGUCAGAGCCCGUUAACGGGUGAUGGCGUGCCUUUUGUAGAAUGAACCGGCGAGUUACGAUCCCGUGCAAGGUUAAGCAGAAGAUGCGGAGCCGCAGCGAAAGCGAGUCUGAAUAGGGCGCAUGAGUACGUGGUCGUAGACCCGAAACCAGGUGAUCUACCCAUGUCCAGGGUGAAGUUCAGGUAACACUGAAUGGAGG
rnacentral:rRNA from 1 species